rnacentral:rRNA from 1 species
AUGAUACAUAUAAAGUUAAUUAGUUACUGGGAUCUUCCGCACCAGUUGAAGACUUGUUUGUUGUACUUAUGUAUAUAUCCAGAGGAUUGGCGUAUCUCAUGUGAAGAACUGAAAUGGAAAUGGAUAGCUGAAGGCUUCAUUGCAACAAAACAUGGAAGUUUGUAUCAAGAUGCAGAGAGUUGUUUCAAUGAACUUGUCAAUAGAAGAUUGAUCCACCUAGUUGCCGCUGAUGGUUUUGAAAAAAAAUAUUGUCAGGUUCAUGAUAUGGUGCUUGACCUCAUAAUAUCUCUGUCAGAUCAAGAGAACUUUGCCACAAUUUUAAACAGCAUUUGCAAUUCUUUGCCAAACAAGAUCCAUCGAAUCUCCCUGCAAUCUAGUGGGCAUGAACAAAAAGGGGUAAUCCAAGCCAUCACAAGAAGCAAGUUACAUGUUCGCUCAUUGAAUCUGUUUGGAGAAACAAAGAAGAUACCUCCACUUGUUGACUUCCAGUCUAUGCAUGUGCUUGAUAUAUGUGUGAACUAUGAGUCCUGGGAAAACAAGGAUAUAAGAAAUAUAGGAAGUUUUUAUCAACUGAGGUAUUUGAGAAUUCAGAAUGCAGGAAUCACAAAGCUUCCUGAAGAUAUUGGGAAGCUACAGCACUUAGAGACUCUUGAUUUGCAGGAUACCCUAAUUCAAGAGCUGCCAUCAACUACAGCCCAACUAAAGAAUUUGAUGCGCCUAUUUGUCCGCUUUAAGUGUGUGCUUUUCGCAAAUAUGUCUGGGAGCAUGCGAGCCCUGGAGGAAGUGUCAGAUAUAUGUAUAGUUGACAACCCUGAGAAAUUUUUGGAAGAGCUUGUACAUCUAACAAAAUUGAGAAAGAUUAUGAUGACCGGAUCAUGGACUGAAUGCUAUGGAGAAAGACUAGCGUCAUAUCUGAAGGGGUUGGGCAAUGACAGCCUUCAAUAUCUUUUUAACCGUGGACAAAUAGGAGAAUAUCUGUUCAGUGAUCCAUGCUCCACCUUUCCGAACCUUCAAAAUCUUGUACUAGUGCUCCCCCUGAUGAGGGUUCCAAAGGGAAUGGCCUCCCUAACGAACAUCAUCAAAUUAGACAUACAAGUCAGAUUAUUUGAUGAUGAAGGUCUCCAUAUUCUUAUGGGUAUGCCUUCUCUGGCCAAUCUCCGGCUAGAUGUAUUGGAUCAGUUGGCUGGCGCCCUGACUAUAAGUAGGAACGGAUUCAAGCUGCUAGUGGUGUUCCACUACACAAUUAAUGCAGAUGGAACAACGGGUAUAAAAUUUGCAGCAGGUGCUAUGCCAGCGCUCCGAUGUCUCGAGCUUACCUGGAAGGCACGUUAUUUUCCGUUGAGGACUAGUGACGGUGCUGACGUGGGCCUUGAGCUGCUUUCAAGCCUUGCUGAGAUCCAGGUUGAAACUUCUUGCUAUGAUGCAACACUGGACGAGGUGGAGGGUGUGGAAGGUUUCGUUGCAAAAGCAAUCGCUUUGUAUCCCAACCAUCUUCAGAUCGGUCUCAGUAGAAGACAUGAAGAGAUGAUUAUGACAACCGAGAAGAGCGAAAAUGAGGAGGAGGAAAGCCGUAGGAGAGCACGGGUUAUUUCAUUCCUUUGCACCGCAUCCUAUGAUUUACUGAUCUGCCCCUCUUUUCCUCCGCAGUAG